CCAGGGACACACCACAAGACUUGCCACUUGGAGAUGCUCUGACCCACUGGUCCAGCCAAUUAUUUCGCUUGCGCAUAGUUCCUGCCUCCAACACAUUAAAUUCAAGAACUGACUAUUCAAUUGCUGCCUAAUAUAUCCCACCCCUUGACAGGUGUCGAAACAAUAUAAUCAUUGUUAUUCACUUCAUCUGUCAGUAGUUUUGGUGUUGUGGCUGAUCAGUAUACAUACAUACAUAUAUGUUAGAAUGCUCAGUCAGACAGUGAGUGCAUACUCAAACAUCCCAAGUCUCCCGGUAGGUCCAGGAGACUCCCGGAUUUGUAGAGUGGCUCCCUGACACCCUCAUGUCUCAUACAAUAUCC